UUAGUAACGGCGAGUGAAGCGGCAAAAGCUCAAAUUUGAAAUCUGGCGCCUUUGGUGUCCGAGUUGUAAUUUGAAGAAAGUAACUUUUGGAAUGAGCCUUGCAUAAGUUCCUUGGAACAGGACGUCAUAGAGGGUGAGAAUCCCGUAUAUGGUGGGGUAUUCAUUUCAAUGUAAAGUGCUUUCGAAGAGUCGAGUUGUUUGGGAAUGCAGCUCUAAGUGGGUGGUAAAUUCCAUCUAAAGCUAAAUAUUGGCGAGAGACCGAUAGCGAACAAGUACAGUGAUGGAAAGAUGAAAAGAACUUUGAAAAGAGAGUGAAAAAGUACGUGAAAUUGUUGAAAGGGAAGGGCUUGAAAUCAGACUUGGUAUUCAGUGAUCAGCGAUCUUUCGGGGUUGUGCACUUGCUGUUUACUGGGCCAGCAUCGGUUUUGACGGUGGGAUAAGAGUACUUGAAUGUGGCUCUCUUCGGGGAGUGUUUAUAGCCUGUGCUGAUACCACCAGUUGAGACCGAGGACCGCGCAUUUAUGCUAGGAUGCUGGCGUAAUGAUUUUAAGCCACCCGUCUUGAAACACGGACCAAGGAGUCUAACGUCUAUGCGAGUGUUUGGGUGUAAAACCCGUACGCGUAAUGAAAGUGAACGUAGGUGAGGGCCCGCAAGGGUGCAUCAUCGACCGAUCCUGAUGUUUUCGGAUGGAUUUGAGUAAGAGCAUAGCUGUUGGGACCCGAAAGAUGGUGAACUAUGCCUGAAUAGGGUGAAGCCAGAGGAACUCUGGUGGAGGCUCGUAGCGGUUCUGACGUGCAAAUCGAUCGUCAAAUUUG
rnacentral:rRNA from 1 species